rnacentral:rRNA from 1 species
CUACGGGUUGCAGCAGUGGGGAAUAUUGGACAAUGGGGGAAACCCUGAUCCAGCAAUGCCGCGUGUGUGAAGAAGGCCUGCGGGUUGUAAAGCACUUUCGGUUGGGAGGACUGCUUCUAGCACUAAUAUUGUUGGAAGUUGACGUUACCUUCAGAAGAAGCACCGGCUAACUCCGUGCCAGCAGCCGCGGUAAUACGGGGGGUGCAAGCGUUAAUCGGAAUUACUGGGAGUAAAGCGCGCGUAGGCGGCUAGAUCAGUCGGGUGUGAAAGCCCCGGGCUUAACCUGGGAACUGCAUCCGAUACUGUCUAGCUUGAGUACAGGAGAGGAGAGUGGAAUUCCACAUGUAGCGGUGAAAUGCGUAGAUAUGUGGAGGAACACCAAUGGCGAAGGCAGCUCUCUGGCCUGAUACUGACGCUGAGGUGCGAAAGCGUGGGGAGCAAACAGGAUUAGAUACCCCAGUAGUC